GACAGAGGGUGCAAACGUUGUUCGGAAUUACUGGGCGUAAAGCGCAUGUAGGCGGCCGUGUAGGUCGGGUGUGAAAUCCCUCGGCUCAACCCGAGGACGUGCACUCGAAACCACGCGGCUCGAGUCCCGGAGAGGGUGGUGGAAUUCUCGGGCGUAGAGGUGAAAUUCGUAGAUUUCGGGAGGAACACCGGCGGCGAAGCGGCCACCUG
rnacentral:rRNA from 1 species